AGCGAACGCUGGCGGCAGGCCUAACACAUGCAAGUCGAACGAACUCUUCGGAGUUAGUGGCGGACGGGUGAGUAACACGUGGGAACAUGCCUUUAGGUUCGGAAUAACUCAGGGAAACUUGUGCUAAUACCGAAUGUGCCCUUCGGGGGAAAGAUUUAUCGCCUUUAGAGCGGCCCGCGUCUGAUUAGCUAGUUGGUGAGGUAACGGCUCACCAAGGCGACGAUCAGUAGCUGGUCUGAGAGGAUGACCAGCCACACUGGGACUGAGACACGGCCCAGACUCCUACGGGAGGCAGCAGUGGGGAAUCUUGCGCAAUGGGCGAAAGCCUGACGCAGCCAUGCCGCGUGAAUGAUGAAGGUCUUAGGAUUGUAAAAUUCUUUCACCGGGGACGAUAAUGACGGUACCCGGAGAAGAAGCCCCGGCUAACUUCGUGCCAGCCGCCGCCGUAAUAC
rnacentral:rRNA from 1 species